AUGAGAGGUCUGAAGGUGAUAGCUUCUCAAAGCCUUUAGCAAUCAGAGAUAGGAGUAAAAAAAAUCCAAUUCUUUGGUGGGGCUCAUAUGGUGGCCUAGCAUUUGAGCUCCAGAGUUUAGCAAAAAAAAUUAUUAGCCUCUGCUGUUCUGCAUCUGGAUGUGAACGUAAUUGGAGCGCAUUUGCUCAUGUCCAUACCAAAAAGAGAAACCGGUUGGAGCAUAAAAGGUUAAAUAAGUUGGUGUAUGUUAGCUAUAACCGGAAGAUGCAAAACAGGUUU